rnacentral:lncRNA from 1 species
AGCUUUAUGUUUAAAAAAGGAGUUAUUGUGUUUUAUAAACAUGAGCAAGAUAACAGAUAGAAUAAAUGUAAUGUGUACAUCAUGCACAAAGAAAAGAAAGAGUAACAUCACUUUGAAAAAGUUAGGGGAUAAAGUUGGGGAAGCACUGAGAAGGAAGAAGUGCUCUGAGCAAUGAGAUGGGCAUGUUUGGGCAACAGUGAAUUUUCCAGUGUGGCUAGAGCAUCCAAAAUGUGGGGAGGAUGUAAUGAGAGGGAAUCAGGAAGGAAGGUGGCUACCAGGUUAUGUCUUGAUAACAUUCUGUAGGCAGCUGGAAACUGAUCUUUGUUUUGGAAAGAUAAUGUUGGUGACUCUGUGAAGGAUAUUAGAGGAGGCAAGAAGACCAUUGAUGAGGUUUCUGCAAUAGGUCAUUUGAGAGGGCCAAGUAGUGACAAUGAGAAAGAGAAGACAGAAACAAGAGCUGCUGACAUGGAGAGCUGACAGCACUUGGUGAUGAACUGGGUAUCAGUGGUGAGGGGAGGGAGAACCUGAAGACAUCUGCAAGGCAAGCUGGGGGCGCCCUUUUCUGUGAGAGGAAAGUUGGAGGAUAGGGUAGAGCUUUAAGCUUUGAACCAGUUGAAUGUGAGUUUUUGGCAGGACCACCACAUGAUGCUGCUGGAGAGACAGCGGGAAAAGCAGAGCUGGAGCUCAGGAAGUUUGGCCUUUAAGAGCACACCUAUUCCAACU